rnacentral:rRNA from 1 species
UGGGGAAUAUUGGACAAUGGGCGAAAGCCUGAUCCAGCCAUGCCGCGUGUGUGAAGAAGGUCUUCGGAUUGUAAAGCACUUUAAGUUGGGAGGAAGGGCAUUAACCUAAUACGUUAGUGUUUUGACGUUACCGACAGAAUAAGCACCGGCUAACUCUGUGCCAGCAGCCGCGGUAAUACAGAGGGUGCAAGCGUUAAUCGGAAUUACUGGGCGUAAAGCGCGCGUAGGUGGUUUGUUAAGUUGGAUGUGAAAUCCCCGGGCUCAACCUGGGAACUGCAUUCAAAACUGACUGACUAGAGUAUGGUAGAGGGUGGUGGAAUUUCCUGUGUAGCGGUGAAAUGCGUAGAUAUAGGAAGGAACA